rnacentral:misc_RNA from 1 species
CUUGACUGUGUAUUGUGCUAUGCUGAGGCACGGACAGUUCUACCACAGUCAAGUAAAGAAAGGUCUCCAUAACAUUGAGCAAGGCCAUAGUUAGUGUCAAGUCCUGAACCUGUAACCGCUACUCCAAACCCUGAAGUACGCAUCUGCUCACUGAUAUUCUCCAUUGUGGCAACAAAAUUCGGCACAAAGAUGGUUGCGUUGUUCUCAAGUUGGCGUCCGCAUGUAACUUUCACUUGUUGGGCUCUGGGGUCCCCCAUCACCGAUUCAUAUAUUAAUAGAAAACCAACAAAAUAGAAGAAAAUGCAUUGAUAGUUGACUGAUAGGAUUGUUUUCCUCAUCUUUCUGGUGAUCUUGUACCAAUACAAGCAACUGCGGGUUUAGUUAUGAGGCUGCCUUUUUGUGCAUCUGGGAAGCCGAAGCUGAGAAUUCCUGUUCUCGAGGUCUGUGUGCGCGUGAUGGAGAAGUAGAUUUGAA